CCUACGGGUGGCAGCAGUGGGGAAUAUUGCACAAUGGGGGAAACCCUGAUGCAGCAACGCCGCGUGGGUGAAGGAGCGUUUCGGCGCGUAAAGCCCUGUCAGCGGGGAAGAAGAAAGACGGUACCCGACCAAGAAGCCCCGGCUAACUACGUGCCAGCAGCCGCGGUAAUACGUAGGGGGCGAGCGUUAUCCGGAUUUAUUGGGUUUAAAGGGUGCGCAGGCGGUCUGUUAAGUCAGCGGUCAAAGCCCGGGGCUCAACCCCGGCCCGCCGUUGAAACUGGCAGUCUCGAGUUGGAGAGAAGUAUGCGGAAUGCGCGGUGUAGCGGUGAAAUGCAUAGAUAUCAGGAGGAACACCGGCGGCGAAGGCGGCCUGCUGGACUGAAACUGACGUUGAGGCUCGAAAGCGUGGGGAGCAAACAGGAUUAGAUACCCCAGUAGUC
rnacentral:rRNA from 1 species